AAGUCGUAACAAGGUUUCCGUAGGUGAACCUGCGGAAGGAUCAUUAUUAGUUAUUCGCUUUAAUUAGCGGGUCUUUCUAAAAGAUCACACCUUGCUCAAUUGUCUCACGUCUUUGGUAGUUCAGUGUUGGACUGGCCGACGUGCCCAGUUCAGCGCGUCCUUCUGCCUCUACGGGCAUUAGGGGGCUACCGCCGGGUUUACCCGGAUCUAUUAACACUUAAGUCUAUAUAACUGACUGAAGUUUAUUAUAUCAAUAAUAUUAUUACAACUUUUGGCAACGGAUCUCUUGGCUCUC
rnacentral:misc_RNA from 1 species